CAGAGCAGCCCCAGGUCUGCACGGUUACAGCAGGUAGCCCAUCUUACAGAUAAGGAAACCAACCAGAAGCAGCACCAUGAACAAACAACUGCAAAGAGCAAGAAACGAGAGGCAAAUCAACUCCUGCUUUAAAAUCGAUUAUAAGGCUUUACCACCAUCAACGUUUUAUUAUUCGAUAUCACAAAAUCAUUACCUCUAUAGCAUGGCAUUUCACAAUGACAUAAAAAUGAACUUUGUUCCUUACGGAAAAUGCUAUAAAUAUGCACAAGGGAAGUUUUUAUUCUUUCAGAAAUAGUAAUCAACCGAUAAAUCAGGACACCACAAGUCAGUCCUAUCUCUUCUAGAAGACUCCAUAAGACUUGUAAUCAGUUCAACAAGAAUUGAGAGAUGUCUCAGAAGCCACCAUGAAAUUCUAAACCUUCAUCAAGACAAAAUAAACCACAAAAUGGUUAAAAGUCUGCUGCAAAUGGGGGGGGGGGUAAACAUUUGCCACAGAGUUGGCGAACAAGAGUGCUGACUGGAUUAUAUUGAACCCCACAAAUCAAUCACAUAGACCACUCAGCACACAAAGGAGCAGUGAGGCAUCCAAGAAUUUCACCAAAUCCGAAAGCUCAGGUGUCCUGCUGCUCAAUCAGGAGCAAUGAACCUCACUAAGAACCCUGGUGACACAAGCGGAAAUCCCUGGUGACACAAGCGGACAUCACAGCCACCUAUCUCAGCUCAGCCACUUUUAGUUGGCCAGUGGGAGCCGGUGUUGAUGGAAGGCAGGAUGAAGGCUCCGUAAACUCAGUGGUGGGCGUCUGAAUGGCACGCUGGAGCAUGCUGGGUACUGGGAGUACCAGCUUCACAGACGAUGAUCACAUCCUGCACCCUCAAGUUAUCUUUUCUGAGGAGCAUCCAAAUAGAUGCACUGGAGUAUACAGUCCCUCGUCACAAUUAGAAGUAUGAGAAACUGGGCACACCCUAAAAAUAUUCAUCAGCCAAGGAGUGGUUAAUUAAACAUGGUAUAUGAUG
rnacentral:lncRNA from 1 species